rnacentral:rRNA from 1 species
CUACGGGAGGCAGCAGUGAGGAAUAUUGCGCAAUGGACGAAAGUCUGACGCAGCCAUGCCGCGUGCAGGAUGACGGCGCUAUGCGUUGUAAACUGCUUUUAUAGGCCAAGAAACCUUCGGACGUGUCCGAAGCUGACGGUAGCAUAUGAAUAAGCACCGGCUAACUCCGUGCCAGCAGCCGCGGUAAUACGGAGGGUGCAAGCGUUAUCCGGAUUUAUUGGGUUUAAAGGGUCCGUAGGCGGAUCAUUAAGUCAGUGGUGAAAGCCGGCAGCUCAACUGUCAAACUGCCAUUGAUACUGGUGAUCUUGAAUACGGUUGAAGUUGGCGGAAUAGGUCAUGUAGCGGUGAAAUGCUUAGAUAUGACCUAGAACACCGAUUGCGAAGGCAGCCAACUAAGCCGUUAUUGACGCUGAGGGGCGAAAGCGUGGGGAGCGAACAGGAUUAGAUACCCUUGUAGUC